GACGAACGCUGGCGGCGUGCUUAACACAUGCAAGUCGAACGGAAAGGCCCUGCUUUUGUGGGGUGCUCGAGUGGCGAACGGGUGAGUAACACGUGAGUAACCUGCCCUUGACUUUGGGAUAACUUCAGGAAACUGGGGCUAAUACCGGAUAGGAGCUCCUGCUGCAUGGUGGGGGUUGGAAAGUUUCGGCGGUUGGGGAUGGACUCGCGGCUUAUCAGCUUGUUGGUGGGGUAGUGGCUUACCAAGGCUUUGACGGGUAGCCGGCCUGAGAGGGUGACCGGCCACAUUGGGACUGAGAGACGGCCCAGACUCCUACGGGAGGCAGCAGGGGGGAAUAUUGCACAGUGGGCGGAAGCCUGAUGCAGCAACGCCGCGUGCGGGAUGACGGCCUUCGGGUUGUAAACCGCUUUCGCCUGUGACGAAGCGUGAGUGACGGUAAUGGGUAAAGAAGCACCGGCUAACUACGUG
rnacentral:rRNA from 1 species